rnacentral:rRNA from 1 species
AUUGAACGCUGGCGGCAGGCUUAACACAUGCAAGUCGAGCGGGGUGAUGGUGCUUGCACUAUCACUUAGCGGCGGACGGGUGAAUAAUGCUUAGGAAUCUGCCUAUUAGUGGGGGACCACAUUCCGAAAGGAAUGCUAAUACCGCAUACGCCCUACGGGGGAAAGCAGGGGAUCUUCGGACCUUGCGCUAAUAGAUGAGCCUAAGUCAGAUUAGCUAGUUGGUGGGGUAAAGGCCUACCAAGGCGACGAUCUGUAGCGGGUCUGAGAGGAUGAUCCGCCACACUGGGACUGAGACACGGCCCAGACUCCUACGGGAGGCAGCAGUGGGGAAUAUUGGACAAUGGGCGAAAGCCUGAUCCAGCCAUGCCGCGUGUGUGAAGAAGGCCUUUUGGUUGUAAAGCACUUUAAGCGAGGAGGAGGCUACUGAGAUUAAUACUCUUGGAUAGUGGACGUUACUCGCAGAAUAAGCACCGGCUAACUCCGUGCCAGCAGCCGCGGUAA